UUCCCGGCCCCGAACCCGAGCCGUGCUUUGGGAACAAUCGUUCCUCGCGUCGCCGCCGUCGGAUUGAUCCGAUUUGCGGGCGAUUUGGUGAGUAAUCUCACUAAUCCUGGAUUAGUUGGCUAAUUAUGCUUAAGGUUGGUUUAGUUUUAAUUAAUUAUGUUUAGGUUGUUAGAUUAGAAUAAAUUAGCAAUUAUUAGUCAAUUAUGAUGUGAUUUAGAUAAAUUGAUUGUGCAAUUAACAAGUAGACGUGGUCUACUAUUUAUUGGAAGUAUCUCGGGAAUUUUCCGACCCCUAAUUGGGCUUCAAUUUGGCAAUUCGGGCCCUAAGUGAGAUUUUUGGGCAUUUAAAUAUUAAUUUUCGGAAUUAAAUUAAAUAAUUAUUUAUUUUCCGAAAAUUCAAGGGAGAUGGUUUGUGACCGGAAAAUUAUGCUGAUGACCGUGGUGAAGUCUGUUUAUUUAAUCGGGCUUUAUUUUAAGCUAAAUUGAAUUUUUAAUAUUAAUUAUUUAAUUUUAGAAAUUAAUUAAUUAAUUAUUUAUUUCCUGAAAAUUCAACUGAGAUGGCCUGGAACCGGAAAAUUAUGCUGAUGACCGUGGUGAAGUCUGUUUAUUUAAUCGGGCUUUAUUUUAAGCUAAAUUGAAUUUUUAAUAUUAAUUAUUUAAUUUUAGAAAUUAAUUAAUUAAUUAUUUAUUUCCUGAAAAUUCAACUGAGAUGGCCUGGAACCGGAAAAUUAUGCUGAUGACCGUGGUGAAGUCUGUUUAUUUAAUCGGGCUUUAUUUUAAGCUAAAUUGAAUUUUUAAUAUUAAUUAUUUAAUUUUAGAAAUUAAUUAAUUAAUUAUUUAUUUCCUGAAAAUUCAACUGAGAUGGCCUGGAACCGGAAAAUUAUGCUGAUGACCGUGGUGAAGCCCGUUUGUUUAAUUGUGUUUUAGUUUGUGCUAAUUUGAAUUAUUAGUAUUUAUUAAUUAAAUUUCGAAAUUAAUUAAUUAAUUAUUUAUUUUUCGGAAAUUAAGAUUGAGAUGGCCGAUGACCGAAAUCUCGUGCCGAUUGUUGUGACGCAGUCCGUUUAUUUAUUUGAGCUUUGAAUUGUGCCAAAUUGAAUUGAAAGUGGUCGAGUGGGACCGUAAAGCCAUUGAAUCUUGCAAGUGGUCGAGUGGGACCGUAAAGCCAUUAAAUCUUGAAAGUGGUCGAGUGGGACCGUAAAGCCAUUGAAUCUUGCAAGUGGUCGAGUGGGACCGUAAAGCCAUUGAAUCUUGCAAGUGGUCGAGUGGGACCGUAAAGCCAUUAAAUCUUGCAAGUGGUCGAGUGGGACCGUAAAGCCAUUAAAUAUUGAAUGUUGCUGAGUGGGACUCUGAAUAGCAAUAGUUUGAAUGACCGGGAAAUGGUCAGGUUGACAUGUAAUCGACAAGGUCGAUUGAUCAUUGUUUUGAUUUGAUGUUGUGAAUUGAUUGACUGAAUGGGAAUGACCGUGAGUGGUCUUGUUGACUUGUCAUCGACUAGGUCGAUUUGAUUGAUGCCUUGAUCGGUGAUACGAUUGCUUGAGUGCCUAUUGUGAAUCGUACUGACUUGCAGGUGGGAUCUGAUGCUAAGGUACGUCUUCUAACCUAUGCGUGUUUAGGCAGCCUUAGUAUAAUGGUUCACUAAUCGGGCUUAGUGGGGUAGAACUCGCUGAGACGUAGUCUCAUCCCAGUUUGGGGAAAACCAUUUCAGGACCCCGCUAAGGAGCUGAGGAGGAAGAGUUGGAGAAGGAUUUUGGGAGAAGAAGACAAUCUCGAGAGGGCCCGUGAGUACGGCCUAGAUGGACUGAAAUUUUAUCUUCUUUGAUAUCUCCAUUUUGAUGUGAAUAGAGUUUAGAAUAAAAAGUUGUGAAGUGUUCUGGUUUGUGGUUUGUAUAAAAGUUUGGUUAUAAAUUUCAAUAUGAAAAAUAUGGCCCUGUUUUCUAUCCCAUCGAUUUAUUGUCUGGGGAUUUUUAAUUGCUUCCGCAUGUGCUUAAAAAUGAAAGGGUCGGCGAUACAUUGUCCUGGGAUAUCGCAUUAUAAAAUCGACCAAGUGAGACGGAUGUGUGCGUG
rnacentral:lncRNA from 1 species